rnacentral:sRNA from 1 species
AUAAUCGAGAGGGCGGAGCAAAAUCUGCCCUCCUACGCGGUCAAAGUCUUGGGAGGAUGCGAUCUAGGCGCGAUGACUCGCUGCCGCCGGACAACGGAACACGGAUCGGACGCGUUUAUUGCAAGGCCUAGUGCCUUGCAUUUUUUU